GCAUUGGGUAUACUUGGGCCCAAGCUUAAGCUUGUCGAAUAAACCCUCAUGUGAUUGCAUUGGUGCUUGGCUCCUUGGUGGUCUCUCAGCCGCGAAAACUCGGGCACAGCAACAUAACAUAUUUGGGCUUGGCAGAGAUUUUGUACAGAAACAGUAAAAUAAAUGAAAACGGUAUUCGGUGAAACUGCCUCGUGGUACACAGGUAGGUAACUCCGAUGUUUUCACUGACAAGAAGACAACUACAGGAUUUCUGGUCAUAACAACUCAUGAUCUGUUUUGCCCCUGUGGAUUUCCC
rnacentral:lncRNA from 1 species